rnacentral:rRNA from 1 species
GACGAACGCUGGCGGCGUGCUUAACACAUGCAAGUCGAACGGAAAGGCCCUGCUUUUGUGGGGUGCUCGAGUGGCGAACGGGUGAGUAACACGUGAGUAACCUGCCCUUGACUUUGGGAUAACUUCAGGAAACUGGGGCUAAUACCGGAUAGGAGCUCCUGCUGCAUGGUGGGGGUUGGAAAGUUUCGGCGGUUGGAGAUGGACUCGCGGCUUAUCAGCUUGUUGGUGGGGUAGUGGCUUACCAAGGCUUUGACGGGUAGCCGGCCUGAGAGGGUGACCGGCCACAUUGGGACUGAGAUACGGCCCAGACUCCUACGGGAGGCAGCAGUGGGAAUAUUGCACAAUGGGCGGAAGCCUGAUGCAGCAACGCCGCGUGCGGGAUGACGGCCUUCGGGUUGUAAACCGCUUUCGCCUGUGACGAAGCGUGAGUGACGGUAAUGGGUAAAGAAGCACCGGCUAACUACGUG